UGGCAAAAAAGUCAGAAAAGUAAGCAGAAGGCUCUGUGUGGAGUCUUUGAAUGCCAGGCUGAGAGGCAAACAUUAACUCAAUCAUCAAUUGUUUUAAACAGAGUAGUACUUUGAUCCAAGUCAUCAUUUUAAGAUAAUAACCAUUUAAAAGUACACAGACAAAGGUAGAUAAAACUGAAAGUAAAGAACUGAAAAUUGGGAGAAAGGGUUAGGUGAUGUGUUAGUCUGCUCAUGCUGUCACAACAAAAUACCAUAGCGGGUGACUUAAACAACAGAAUUUACUUUCUCACAGUUCUAGAGAUCUGUGUUUGAGUUCUUAUUGGAACUCUGGCUUACGAGGGCCAUUCUUAGGCUAUGUCUUCCCCACAUGGUAGAGAAAGAACUCUGGUGUCUCUUCUUAUAAAGACAUCGGUCAGGAUUAGGGUUCCAAUCUUACAACCUCUUUUAACCUUAAUAAAUCCCUGAAAGGCCUCUUCUCCUAUACAAUCACAAGGGGCUUAGAGGCUUUGAUAUAUGGAUUUAGGGAGGACACAAUUUAGUCCACAGCAGGUGGUUAUUGUUACUAACAUAUAAUAAAAGAAUACAAUUACCCAAAUUUGAAUUAUAAAAUAAGAAUAAAAUGAAAAGGCAGAUGCUAGAGAGAAAUUAAUGCAUAGGAUUUGGGAAGUAGCAGUGAAAGAUGAGGGUGAGGUACCAAAGAAAAAGCUAAAACUUCAGAAUUCUCAGUUGGCAUGACUGUUUGCCACCACCAGAAAGUGAGAUUGGAAAAGUAAAAAAGAGAAGCUAGGAUGUGUAUAGAGUUGGCUUCAAGGGCAUAGGACCUGUGCAGCCCAAGAAGAUCCCACUCUCAGAAGGGAGCCAUGCAGUUUAAUUCUCUGUUGUCUUGAAAUUCUUAAUGGCUUCACCCUUGAACCUUCAUUUUGUAAGUAGAGUUUCAUGGAGCAUGCCAAUGAGCAGAGGCAAGACAAACGCAUGCCCACAGCUCCUUGCCAUCCCAUUUGCCUUCAAGUGCCACAUGAACACAGAAUUCUACAAUGUAUGAAGUUCAAUGAGACCUAAAGCAAUGAGGAGUUCCCCUCGUGGCACAGUGGUUAACGAAUCCGACUAGGAAACAUGAGGUUGUGGAUUUGAUCCCUGGCCUUGCUCAGUGGGUUAAGGAUCCGGCGUUGCUAUGAGCUGUGGUGUAGGUUGCAGACUCAGCUCAGAUCCCGCGUUGCUGGGGCUCUGGCGUAGGCCGGCAGCUACAGCUCCAAUUCAACCCCUAGCCUGGGAACCUCCAUAUGCUGCGGGAGCGGCCCAAGAAAU
rnacentral:lncRNA from 1 species